CGCUAGCCGAAGGUACAUGUGUUUUCUGCUGACGCGUACCAAACGUGUUGCUCGGUUUAUCGUCUGAGCUGGUUUGUAGUUCGCCAAGCGGAUGGAGGAAUUGACUCCCCUACUGAAGCUAUGCAUGCACUAGAUGGCAGGCUCUACAUGGCAGGCGCUACUUGGCAGGCGCAUAUCCUUCGUUGACGGCGCACCGGCAAACAAAGCGGUCGGUGUUAUUCCAAAGUUUUUGAGGAUUAAGCGACUAUGCAGCUCGGCCAAGGCGCAGCGUAUUUUCAAACGGACGGAAGACGCUUUACUACGAGAGCGGAUUCAACAGACCCGCCGGGACUUGGCAAGCACAAACUGCGACCGUCACGCAGCUGGGCGUCCACAACGCAUUACAUAAAGAUCACCUACCUUCUUUACUGAAAUAUUUACAACAGCUGUUUCCGCUACAGUGACAGUUUGAUGCAAAUAAAAUUUCACAGGUCGAAAAAUUACAGUAGAAAUGUGUAGAAACGAAAUCUCAUGAGUAGAAGUGUUGUGAUACAUUCAUGCAUGUGCACACAUGUCAUAACUCUUAAAGUAGGAUUCUUCGUUUCUAACAUCCUUUCCACAAAUCAGAGUCUCUAACCACUACUAAUUAUGCCUUACCUUGUUACACAUAUACGUAUUCAACACUUCUUCAAUAUUUCAUCAUAAUAAAUACAUAGCAUAAUCAAAUUCCUCAUAUAGCAUCACCUCAUUGAUCAUAAACAUACCUCAACAGCAUAUUACACAUUGUCAUUGUAAUAAUAUCAUUAUAGUACAUCAAUCAAAUCUCAAAAUCGUCAUAGCUUCCUCCAAUAACCUCGCUUCAAUAGAGUCAUCUGCCUCAAACGAAGUUCAAAAAUUAGUAUCCCUUACCAAAUACAUCAUUCAAAGCUCACAUAGUAUCACAAUGGUUCCGAAAAAAUAUGAACAGUUCACGAAGUACAGACAAAAUACAAUUUCAAAAGUGUGAAUUAAUUUAACUGUGUAAUUACUUAAAUAUGUGUCACUGACAUAGUAAAAAAAUGUUUGUCUCUCUUAAAUGAUCAGAUAGCUGUGUAAUUCUGUGUUAGAGUAAUGCGGUACCGAUGUGUAAAGUUGUAUAAGCAAAUACCAUAUUAGUUAGGGCUCCUUGCAGUUGCCAUACACAUGGUACACAAAGUAAGUGUGUACCCCCUGAGUAUUAAUGUAAUUAUACCCUCCGAUGUUACAAAUUACAGCAAUUGAAUGAAAUGUGUCACCAGAAGCCUUACUUGUAUCUUUGUAAUUCAAGAAUCUUUCAGAAAAAAGUUUUAAGUACAAAAGUUAAUCACUCAAAUGCAUUUCCUGUAGCGUUAAACUGUGUGUCUCACUGUAAGAUAAUUUCUGUCAUUACUUGACAGUAAAAACGUGCCAAGUGUCGUAAUUAUCGUCCUUUGUAAGCAAGGUUCUGCAAAGUCAAUGUACUUACCUCAUCAUAAACAAAUAUGAAAUGCUAUGCGUAUAGAUAUCGUAGUUAUUAUGCUUAUUGCCCUGAUCAAGAAAGUACUGUACUGUAACAUAUUGUUGUGCUACGCAAAAGGCUGUCUCAUUGUAGCUAUACCACAAAAAUUAUUACUAAAACAUGUUUUACUUUCCAGAAGAAUACAGAAAAACUGUGCAGAUAUAAAACAGAUACAGCAGAAAAGCAACAAUGUAAAUUGCGUCACUCGUUAGUAGCAUCGUGAUAUAAUUGUGUAGCUGUCAAAUUAACCAAAUACUAAGUCAUCUGUAAUCUCUCAGAAAGUACUUUAAUAAAGAAUGUCUU